rnacentral:lncRNA from 1 species
UGUUACGGCUCCUCCAAAUCUUCCGUGGAAUAAUUGUGCUCAAUUGUUGGGAAUAACUCCUCCAGCACACAAAACGGAUGGUUUUACUCUCUCGUUGUCGCGGUUAAAGGAUAAUCUGGUCGAUAAUAACUUCAGUGAACAAUCUCCUUCGGAGGUAAAAAUACAACACACUAGGAGGUACCUACUAUACCUCUUUGGAGGGUUCUUG